rnacentral:rRNA from 1 species
GAUGAACGCUGGCGGCGUGCUUAACACAUGCAAGUCGAACGAUGAAGCUCAGCUUGCUGGGUGGAUUAGUGGCGAACGGGUGAGUAACACGUGAGUAACCUGCCCUUAACUCUGGGAUAAGCCUCGGAAACUAGGUCUAAUACCGGAUAGAAGCGCCUACCGCAUGGUGGGUGUUGGAAAAAUUUAUCGGUUUUGGAUGGACUUGCGGCCUAUCAGCUUGUUGGUGAGGUAAUGGCUCACCAAGGCGACGACGGGUAGCCGGCCUGAGAGGGUGACCGGCAACACUGGGACUGAGACACAGCCCAGGCACCAACGGGGGGCAGCAGUGGGGAAUAUUGCACAAUGGGCGAAGGCCUGAUGCAGCGACGCCGCGUGUGGGAUGACGGCCUUCGGGUUGUAAACCUCUUGCAGUGGGGAAGAAGCGAAAGUGACGGUACCUACAGAAGAAGCACCGGCUAACUACGUG